UUUUGCCUACGGGACGCAGCAGUAAGGAAUAUUGCUCAAUGGGGGAAACCCUGAAGCAGCAACGCCGCGUGGAGGAUGAAGGUUUUAGGAUUGUAAACUCCUUUUGUAAGAGAAGAUUAUGACGGUAUCUUACGAAUAAGCACCGGCUAACUCCGUGCCAGCAGCCGCGGUAAUACGGAGGGUGCAAGCGUUACUCGGAAUCACUGGGCGUAAAGAGCACGUAGGCGGGUGGUCAAGUCAGAUGUGAAAUCCUGUAGCUUAACUACAGAACUGCAUUUGAAACUGAUCAUCUAGAGUAUGGGAGG
rnacentral:rRNA from 1 species